GACGAACGCUGGCGGCGUGCUUAACACAUGCAAGUCGAACGGAAAGACCCUGAUUUUGUGGGGUUCUCGAUUGGCGAACGCGUGAGUAACACGUGUGUAACCUGCCCUUGACUUUGGGAUAACUUCAGGAAACUGGGGCUAAUACCGGAUAGGAGCUCCUGCUGCAUGGUGGUGGUUGGAAAGUUUCGGCGGUUGGGGAUGGACUAGCGGCUUAUCAGCUUGUUGGUGGGGUAGUGGCUUACAAAGGCUUUGACGGGUAGCCGGCCUGAGAGGUUUACCGGCCACAUUGCGACUGAGAUACGGACCAGAAUGCUACGGGCGGCAGUAGGCGGGAAUAUUGCAGAAUAGGGGGAAGCCUGAUGUAGAAACGCCGCGUGCGUGAUGCCGUGCUUCGGGUUGAAAACCGCUUUCGACUGUGACGAAGCGUGAGUGACGGUAAUGGGUAAAGAAGCACCGGCUAACUACGUG
rnacentral:rRNA from 1 species